rnacentral:rRNA from 1 species
GAAGUGUGGACGCCAGUCUGCAUGGAGCCGACCUUGAAAUACCACCCUUUAAUGUUUGAUGUUCUAACGUUGACCCGUGAUCCGGGUUGCGGACAGUGUCUGGUGGGUAGUUUGACUGGGGCGGUCUCCUCCUAAAGAGUAACGGAGGAGCACGAAGGUUGGCUAAUCCUGGUCGGACAUCAGGAGGUUAGUGCAAUGGCAUAAGCCAGCUUGACUGCGAGCGUGACGGCGCGAGCAGGUGCGAAAGCAGGUCAUAGUGAUCCGGUGGUUCUGAAUGGAAGGGCCAUCGCUCAACGGAUAAAAGGUACUCCGGGGAUAACAGGCUGAUACCGCCCAAGAGUUCAUAUCGACGGCGGUGUUUGGCACCUCGAUGUCGGCUCAUCACAUCCUGGGGCUGAAGUAGGUCCCAAGGGUAUGGCUGUUCGCCAUUUAAAGUGGUACGCGAGCUGGGUUUAGAACGUCGUGAGACAGUUCGGUCCCUAUCUGCCGUGGGCGCUGGAGAACUGAGGGGGGCUGCUCCUAGUACGAGAGGACCGGAGUGGACGCAUCACUGGUGUUCGGGUUGUCAUGCCAAUGGCACUGCCCGGUAGCUAAAUGCGGAAGAGAUAAGUGCUGAAAGCAUCUAAGCACGAAACUUGCCCCGAGAUGAGUUCUCCCUGACUCCUUGAGAGUCCUGAAGGAACGUUG